rfam:Bursaphelenchus xylophilus, Ka4C1 (inbred line), WGS project CADV01000000 data, contig: contig18024
CAAACGGCCCUCUUUAGGGCCACAAAUCAUUUUUUUUUUUUUUUGAU